UACAGUCAUAUCACGUCGAAACGUUGGUUCUUCUACGAUCACUAAAGUUAAGCAACGUAGAGCCUGGUCAGUACUUAGAUUGUUGACCGUUUGGGAAUACCACGUACUGUAAG